rnacentral:rRNA from 1 species
UACGUAGGGGGCUAGCGUUGUCCGGAAUCAUUGGGCGUAAAGCGCGUGUAGGCGGUCCGGUAAGUCCGCUGUGAAAGUCGGGGGCUCAACCCUCGGAUGCCGGUGGAUACUGUCGGGCUUGAGUACUUAAGAGGAUCGCGGAAUUCCCGGUGUAGAGGUGAAAUUCGUAGAUAUCGGGAGGAACACCAGUGGCGAAGGCGGCGAUCUGGGAAGAUACUGACGCUGAGGUGCGAAAGCGUGGGGAUCAAACAGG